UAGAAAGCAGCACACAUGACCUCUGUCCUUCCAGCUGCCACCAGUUUCUGGGUUGUCGAGUGAUACCCUGAAAGUUUACAGUCAACACUCCUUGUGUGGGGUCAGUCCUAGAAAUGGCGACGCUGCUCUCCGAAGAUAGGAAAGAAAAGGACCUCAUUCCAUUGAGCCAUUGACCGAAAUAUUUUCUCAACAAAGUUGAACUGAGCUGAAACUGUGUGAAUCAUGGCAAUACAGUGAAAGACAGUGAUUUACUGCUUUUGAGGGCGUGCAUGUAUAUGAUUAACGGAUGGAAGUGCAGGACUCCAAGAUUUACUUCCUUCCCUUUCCAGCAGAAUUACCUGAGACGAGUAAAAUCUACUGGUGGAGUCACUCCAUUAUUCUUAUCUGUGGAGAUCUAGAUCUUGAUUUGAAAGUUUCUGAGAAAAUCUUCAGCUCAGACUUGAGGGUCAACUUUACCAGCUGAAGGAUCUGCAUUUACUGCUCAACCACAUCUAAUUUGAUGUCCUCUGCAGAUUUAAAAUGUGUGCCUUCUUUUCCGUCACCAAGUCAUCCCUGGGUUACUACUGAACAUCCUUCUCAAUUCCCCCCGACCCAUGGAUGGCUGUUCUCCAUUGUCUGUUUCACCAGAUGUCCUCAAAACAAACAGACAGAAGAAGGAAGUGGCUAAUGGAGCUGUGGAGUCCAAGUGUGACUGCCAAGAGGAAUCCAGCAAAGCCAAAAAGCCCAAGCAUGUAGCCCUGCCCGAAGCACGCCACACGCAUGGAAAACCCAGAGGAAAUGAGUGAGGAUCAAUGGGAAGAAGAGAGCCAGCCAGGAAGUUGAAGAUUUGUCCAGGAGCAGAUAGCUGAAGAGAGAGAGAGAGAAGAGAGAACGGCUUACAGCUCAGUUCUGGAGACCAGAAGGCCAAAAUCAAAAGUAUGGGCAGGCUUGAUUUCUUUAGAAGACUCCAGCGGAGAACUGUGUCUCCUUGCUUCUGAUUCUACAUCUCCAUCCAUGGGCCACUGUUUCAGCAACCUCAGCCAGUGCAACACAACCUCAGCCAAGAAGAGUAUGCAGAGAAAGGAGUCCCCUACCUGCCACAAAACUGUUGUCUGAAAACUGUCUCAUAUUGUCUCAAGUUGUCAUUCAUUGUGAAUUAGACCUGUUUAACAUGUAAUCUGCAACAUGCUUCACUGUCUAAUUUUCCAGAGCCCCUCAUAUAAGGAACUGUAUUAUUGGUAUAAUCAUCAUGGUGAAGAAGUUGGUAUGUGGGGGAGAGAUGACAGAAACAGAGAGUAAGUCAGAGCUGGCUGCCUGACAGAUAAAAAGGAAAUGACCAAAAAAAAAAAAAAAGACACAGAAGAAUACUUUGUUGUCCACACAGAAAAGGGAAGUGUAGGUAAGACAGCAGUAGACUAAGAUUCUUAAGACUCAAGUUCUAGUCUUAUUUAUUAGCUAUGGGAGGCCUUGAGGGAGUUCUAGAAUUAAGUGAUCUCUCUUUAUAAAAUAGGAACAGUAAUAACUUCCUGGCUAACUCCCUGGCUGUCUCACAAUGCUGUAGUAGUAAGAAAUAAUUUUAUAAUUAAAGACUAUUUUAGGGCUGAUUACAUUUUUGGGCAGUGGCUCAUACAUGUAAUUUCAACAUUUUGGGAGGCCAAGGUGGGCGGAUUGCUUGAGCCCAGGAAUUCAAGACCAGGCUGGGCAACACAGACCUUGUCACUACAAAAGAAAAAAACAUUAGCUAGGCGUGGUGAUGUAUGCCUGUGGUCCCAGCUACUCAGGAAGCUGAGACAGGAGGAUCACCUGAGCCUGGGAGGUCGAGGCUACAGUGAGCCAUGAUCACACUACUGCACUCCAGCCUGGGAAACAGAGUGAGACUCUGUCUCAAAAAAAAAAAAAAAGGAAUAUUUUACACUUCAAGGUUCUAUACAAAUGUAAAAUAUCAUUCUAUUACUUAUUUAUAAUGCUGAUUAUUCUUUAAAUGACUUUAAAAUGUUAAUCUCUGCUUGAGCCUACGGAGAAGUAUGUAACAAAUUUGUGAAGGAUUGGCAUUAAACAUAGUCAAAAUAAAACAUAGAAAUUAUGGUAAAUAAUUUAACUGGUAAAAUAAUCUAAGUGGUAGUUCUCAGGUAAGUGGAAAUUCGAUUAGCUGAUUGUUUAGGAUUCUUGGUUAUAAGUGACAGAGACCUGACUAAAAGUACAUGAAGCACAUAACUGAGAAGGUUGUGGUAUGGCUCAGCAGAAAUGGGAAAAUCUUGGGACUGGUUCGUGUUUUAUUUACAUUAUCUUUGUUCCCAGGCAGUCUCUGCAUGUAAGUGGCAAAGAUGACUGUCUGAAAAUAUAUACCUACUUUUUUAAAGGGCUAUCUCAAGCCAUUCUGGAGAAGCACCAAAAGCCACUUUGCUUAUACUGGGAGAAUAGUUUGCUUUCCCUAAUUUGUGAUGAGUGAAACACUGAACAGAGACAUAGAAUAAUAUUCUGUAGUUCAGGGUUGGUGUAAUAUGGCCAGUGGGCGGAAUCUGGUCCUCAGACUGAUUUUGCAAAUAAUCUUAUAGAAACACAGCAACACCCAUUCAUUACAUGUUGUUUAUGGUUGCUUUGGGGUUACAAUGGCAGAGUUGAGUAGUUGUGACAGAGAUCACUAGGCUCACCACAUCUGAGAUAUGUACUGACUGACCCUGUACAGAAAGUUUGCUGCUCUUAGAGGAAUGUGUGUUUCUAGUGUCAGCAAUAAACUUCUUGGAUUUGUUUUGUUUUCUCAUCUUUACAUGAUAGUUGCAGACUAGUUGAUCCUUGUGACCUGUUUUUGAAUGCCACUGUGUAUUCUGUCAGGGCCCUCUGAUUCUGUUUCUUAUGGUGCUGAAUGCACAAUUUAAUGCCCUGGAAUUUCCUUCUGUCUUCUGCUAAACUCAUGCCUCUUCAGAUAGUUAAAAUCCUGUUCUACCUUAGAAGUCUCCAGAGUUAUUUUCCUAAAUUAAGAAGAACUGGCUUUGAAGUUACUCAUUAUGCCACACACAAUGGUUGAAAAGAGCAUCUCUUAUGUACUGUGUAUAUUUCAGCAUCCACUCAGCUUCUUAGGUAGAAAAGGAAGAGUCUUCCACAGUGUAUUUUAUCCAUAUUUGGGUCAGAAACUCUUCUUUACCACGGAGCGUGAUGGAAGAAAGAUAUGGGAUGGUAACAGUAGGCCAGGGAUGUAAUAAUCACAAAAUUUGAGAUAUUUUGUGACUGGUGACUCACGCCUGUGAUCCCAGCAUUUUGGGAGGCCAAAGCGGGCGGAUCACCUGAGGUCAGGAGUUCAAGACCAGCUUGGCCAAUGUAGUGAAACCUCAUCUCUACUAAAAAAAUAUAAAAAUUAGCUGGGUGUGGUGGUGCACACCUGUAAUCCUAGCUACUCAGGAGGCUGAGGCAGGAGAAUAGCUUGAACCAAGGAGGUGGAGGUUGCAGUGAGCUGAGAUUGUGCCACCACUGCAUUCCAGUCUGGGUGACAGAGCGAGACUCUGUCUCAAAAAAAAAAAAAAAAAAAAUCUAGAAAAAGAUCUCCAAGAUUCAAUCAUCUAAUUAUUUCUUUUAAAAAUGAGAAAAAUGACUCCUGGUCAGCUUUUACCUUCUUUUUCCAACUGUCUUGACAAUACUUUCAUAUUGGGCUUUUAAAGUCUCAAGUAAUAGGUUUUUAAAACCUCAGCUGAUAAAAGUAUAAAAAUAAAGUUAAAACAUAUUAAAGACAAAACCCAAGAAUCAGCUUCCUCUUCCUUCAUUACUCUUGCAUGGGUGUUGGCUCUAAUUUCUCCAUCUAGUUAGGCAGUCCUUUGCUUUUUAUUGCUUGUUUAUUGAUGACAUUUGCCAUUUGUAGCAAUAGUAAUAGAAUCAUCUAUAUAUUUGUGGCCUUGUUGAAUGUAGAAAAAGGAUAGUGGCAUUUUCUAAUUGUGUAACCCUAUAACACCUUGACGGGGGACUACAGUUCAUAUGCUGGACCUUUUGUGUUUGUUCAUGGCGGGUGGGUUGCUUUAAUAUACUUAGCACAUUGUCCUAAUUGCCAUCCUUUUGGGGAGGGCUAUAUAUCCAAGCUAAUAUGGUAGCAUUUUUGUUUUAACAUAGAGCUGACCCAAGGUAGACGUAAGUGUUGUUCAUUUUUGCCUAAUACUAAUAAAAUUACCUAAUUGUUGAAGCUUGGAGCUUGAAUCUAGGCAUUUUAUUUCAUUUCAAGUACACCCUAGUAUUUUAAAGCAUAAAUAUCCUACUAUCCUCAACAACUUUAGAACAAAAAUAAAUAUUUUAACAAGAAAAAAGCAUGCCAUGACAAGCUGUAACUUAGUAAAGAAAGACAAGGAAUGGUCUCUAUAGACCGAGAAAAAAUAGGUCCUCAGAUAUAUUUAUACCAAAGGAAUGUUAUGAAUGUAAAAAACAGUUUGACUCCCCCCCCCCCGCCAAAAAAAAACUCCACAACCCUAUAUUUUGUUAUCACAAGACUGUUUUAGUGAAUAAAACAGUAUGAAUUGGUUUUACCUGUUUCCAUUUAAUACUUAUUAACUUUAUAAUCGUAUAGCCUGAGGGUUUUAACUUCAAGUACAGCAUGAUGACUAUAAUAGUUUUACACAAGGCAAAUGUGAAAAACAGAAGUAAUUUCUUUUAAAAAGUGUGAAAUAUCUAAAAGGUAUGACUUCAAUACAUCAACUCAGGUGAGACAGACAUGUAACUUCUUUUUCCAUGUUUAAACCUAAUAUUGCUUUUGUGCCUCUGAAGGCUCGGAGUUUCCAUGCCUUCUUAGGACAUGCCACCCUCUCCACACCUGGAUGUGUUCACCAACCCAGAAGCUCUUGGAACCCCAUCAUUUGGGGUUUUUAUGGAGUCCCCAUUAAGUAGGUAUGACUGAUUAAAUCACUGGCCAUUGGUGGUUGACUCAAUCUCCAGCCUCUCUUCCCUCUCUGAAGGUGAAGGGGUGGGAAGGUGAGGCUAAGUUCCAACCCUCGGAUCACAGGGUUGGUUCCUCUGCAACCAGGCUUCAUCGUGAAACAAUACAGGGCCCACCGAGAGUCACCCCAUUAGCAAACUCAGAUGUGAUUGAAAGGGGCUUAUUAUGAAUAUCAAAAGACAUUUCUCUUUCUCCUAUUACUCAGACAGUUACAAGGGUUUCAGAAGCUCUUGCACCAGGAACUGGGAACAAAGACCAAAUAUAUAUGUCUUCUUCUAUUACAAUGUCACAGGUGUGACAGAGUAGGUAAAUGGAGUCUCAGAGAGUCCCCAGAGUAUUCCAUGGAGCCACAAAAUGAAGAAUAAAUGGAUGGUUCUCCCCAUGAUCAAAAGUGGCCUGAAAAUACUUGAGAAUGAGUCAUAACUUAAAAGGCUGUAUAGUAGAAAAGAAUGCACAGAGGACCGAAUGUAAAAGAAGGCACCCCAGUCUCAGCUAGUGUGGAUGCAUGCCAGUGUAGAAAGAUGCUAGUGUGGCUACAUUGGUGCACUGAAGACCAAACUCCUGCAUGGCCCCACAUCCUUGAUACCUUAGAUCUAUAUCAUCCCCUAAAACUUAGGUGUUAUGACAUUCAGGAUAUGCUACCCCAUCAUUUUUUAGGCUGAAGGAAUUUGAGAAAACAGAAGCAGGAAUGUAAUUGCCCAGUGGGUUCUUCCUGCCCUGUGCACAGACAAAACCAGUUCACUGAGACCAUGGUAUUGCAGUUAAGAAAGAGUUUAACAGGAGGCUGGCCACAUGGAAGAAUUACAGUUAUUACAAAUUAGUCUCCCUGAAGGCUCAGAGGUCAGGGUUUUUCAUGGAUAGUUCGGUGAGCAGUGGAUUAGGGGUAAGUGCUGCUGAUUGGUUGGGGAUACAAUCAUAGGGGUGUGGAAAAUGGUCCUUGUGUGCUGAGUCACCUCUGGGUGGGAGGCCAUGGGACCCAUUGAGUCAUGAGUCACGAGGCUGGGUUGGGUCAGUGUGAAAAACAUCUCAAAAGACCAAUCUUAGGUUCAAAAUAGGUGAUAUUACCUGUAGGAGCAAUUGGGAAAGUUAUAAAUUAUAUGACCUCUUGGCCCCAUGACUUCUGAGCAGUAAGAGAUGAUAGAAACUAAACCUACAUUUUAUCAGCACUCAGGCCUCUUCCAUAAUCCUAAUCUUGUGGCCUUUCGUUAGUCUUAUAAAGGUGGUUUGGUAACUGCCCUCAAGCAAGGAGGGGAUCAGUUUUAGGGAGGUGCUAUUAUCAUCCUUGCUUCAAAGUUAAGCUGUAAACUAAAUUCCUCCCAUAAUUAGCUUGGCCUACACCCAGAAAUGAGCAAAGACAGCCAGCCUGUGAUGUUAGAAGCAAGAUGGAGUUAGUCAUGUUAGAUUUCUCUCACUGUCAUAAUCUUUGCAAGGGAGGUUCCAGGAAGGUCAUCCUACCUUUCCCCUCACCCUUCUCAUGUGACACAGGUCAUAAAGCCUAGGAAGGAUUUUCCGACCUUUCCCUGAAGCAGGUCGUAAGACCCUCAUUGGGGAGGUGCCAUUUCUAGACCAAGAGAAAAGGCACAUCCUUAUGUCUGAAGACACAGGGACACAGAGAAGAAUCUGAACAAACAGGUCUUGCUAAGUUCCCCCCAGUUUGUUUUCAUUAGAUCAUGCCCCUUUAUUCAAUGCUGUUUCUCCACAACUAUCCAUUUCUUCAUCAAGCCUAGCAUAAAAAAUACAGGUUUCACGGUUUCUUUGGGUCUUCAUUUCCUUAUAAAGUCUCCUGUACCAUGUAAAACUUAAAUAAGUUUCUCUGCUUUUCUCUUGUUGAUUCUGUCCUUUGUUUUAUAACCCUCAGACAUGAACCUAGUGAUGAGUGAGGGGAAGAUAAUUUAUUUUCCUCUACAGAUGCAAAAGGGAAAAGGGAACAAUCCCUAAACGGAAGUUAUGAUCCAGGGAUCAGAGGCUCAAAAGCAAGAUUAGGUUUAAAUGUAGAAAAAUACAUUCCUCUUUCAUUUUAGAUAUCCCAAAUGCCCAAAUCAACCCAGCUAUUUCUCAGAAGUCUGUUUCCCCUCCACCCUCUGCUCCUCUGUGUAGUGAAACUGUCUCGUUUGGGAGUAAAAUGGCCUGGCUUUCCUUACUGAGUAUACUCUCAAGACUAUUGCCUAUUACUUUUUUCCAUUCCUUCUUGAGAACUACGCUUUUUAAAACAAGAAUUGACUCCAUUUAUCUUUUUCUUUUAGCCUUCUGCUGGGGUAUGCCUUCUCUAAAGCAAUGAAUAAAAAAUGCUUUAGCUGAAUAAAUGGGGCAAGGAUCAAGGAGUACAAGCUAAUAUUUCACAAUAUUAUCCUGCCAUAAAUAAAAGUAUGGUUUAAAUGACAAUGGUGGGGUUAGGAGUUACAGGUCACUGAAACACCACCUUAUUCAUGCUACCAGCCCCUUGGCUUUCCUGAUGGCAGCAGGGAAGCAACACAUAGGUAGAAUUAUGAGCCAACAUCGUGACUGGAGAGGGAUUGAAAAUCUUAUUUGUUGUCUUCCUAGACUAUUACAGUUAUCUGUUGAAAUUAGACUCAAUUCUUUGGCGAAAGUACUCAUUUUUAAGGUCCAUAAUAAAUUGUAACUAUGUAGCCUUUGUUGCAUGAGUUUAGUAUGAGCUGAUUGGUGGGCCACAGUGAAAGGCAGAGGGAAAUGGAUGUUAACUAAGAGGUAGAAGUCCCCUUGAAGUUCUGACCCUGUCACUAAUGAAGUCUUUAUUUCCGUAUUUAGUAAUUGCCUUUUUUUUUUUUUUUUGAGACAGAGUCUUGCUCUGUCGCCAGGAUGGGGUACAGUGGCACAGUAUCUGCUCACUGCAACCUCCGCCUCCCAGGUUCAAGCAGUUCCCCUGCCUCAGCUUCCUGAAUAGCUGGGACUACAGGUGUCUGCCGCCAUGCCUGGCUAAUUUUUGUAUUUUUAGUAGAGACGGGGUUUCACUAUGUUGGCCAGGAUGGUCUCGAUCUCCUGACCUCGUGAUCUGCCCACCUCAGCCUCCCAAAGCUAGGAUUACAGACGUGAGCCACCAUGCCCGGCCAACUGCCUUCUUUAUAUCUCAUUUUAAAAAUUUAUAACAAAGAAGUGGGUUGAUUUUCAAGACCUAGUUGUGUUAGUUUGAAUGAGAUGCAUACAUUUGGCAAGUCUGGGGUCUAAGAAAAGAUAAAGAUCUGAAUGCUGAAAAUCUAGAGAAUUCAGGUUACUGGGGGAUAACUUAAAGUCACUAGGGAAUUCGGGUUACUGGGGGGAUAACUUAAGGUCACUAGGGAAUUCGGGUUACUGGGGGGAUAACUUAAGGUCACUAGAACCCAAAUGCAGGGAAGAGUUGGGUGCUCUUUGGCAAAUAAACAUUCCUGACUUAGCAUUUUUCUUAAACCCGAACGUGCCAGCUGUUUUUUUGUUUUUUUGUUUUUUUGUUUUGUGACCUCAGCCAGGCUUGCGUGUUUAUUCAUCACAUAUUCUAAGCUCAUAUACAACUGUGACCUGAUCCAGCCUUCAAGGAACUCACUCUUGAUUUUAGGAAUCUUUCCACCACUUCGAUUUCAUCUUACUCCUGAAACAGUCAGCCAGAACUGUCUAAUUCAGUCUAUACUUCUGAUACAAAACUCUACCCAGCAACCACUAUGGUUUUGUUGCUUUAGGUACGUGUUAGAAAGCACCCACAUCAAUUUACAGAAAAUCCUUAACUGAAUCUCUAGUCCCAGAGGAGUCAUAUUUUAUUAUAUGGUGCUUUUUAUUUAAAGAGAUCGGUUUAAUAGAAAUUACUCAGGCAUUUGAAGUGAUAGCUUUAAAAUGUGGGACUGGGGAAAAUAAGAACACUUGACCUCUCUCCAUAAAAUUGAAUUGUUCUUUAGGUUUAAAGUUUUGACAGACAAAGAGAAAGUGAGAGCAAGUGAGGGUGAAAAUAUAUCCUUAUUUGGUAAUGAGUACCCAUUAAGAGGACAGUAUAUUACAUUUCAUCUUCUUACUUCACAUUCCUGUUUUAAGGAUUUGUGAGCAAAGUGCUGUGAGACCUCUAGAGUUAAGAGGCUGGAGAUAGGUAGUUUUGAUGGUAUUUUAAGGAGUGCUCCAUAAUGUGUAGUGUCUGAGUGCUGAAGCUUAAUCAGCUUCAAUUAAAUCCAAAACAUACUGAAUAGCUCCUAUGUGUCUGGCAUUGAGCUGUGUGCCAAAGUGGUGGAAAGAUGUAAGAGCCACUGAGGCUUAGAGAUGAAAAGGAUCUUGGAGCCACUGGUUUCCUGCCUGCUGGAGUUUCACCAUCAAGGACCCUUUCGUUAUUUUCCUUCUCCCAUGCAUUUUAUUAAAAUUUUUGGUUUAGUAAACCAAAUUCACUAAUGGGAUGUUAUUUUCAUAUCAAAGAGUAUAAUUCUGCCAAUCAAGGCUUCUGAUCAGCAUAAAAUAAUUAGGUUUCAUACUGAAUGCACAAAUUCUAGUCAAAAGCAAAGCCAUUUGAUGACAUGUCUGCUAUGUUGCCAUUUGCUUUAAGAGAGGUAAAGGUAGCCUGACUUCUGUUCACUCUGUAGUACAGAAUACAUUGUUAACAAGUCAUAGGUAUGUUCUUUUAGGUUUCUAAUUACUGUCAGCCUCUCAUUUCAGACAGGUGAUGUGAUAAGGUGAAAUGAUUACUAUAUUUAGACUCAAAAGUCCUGAGUUUGAGUCCUCGUUUAACGAUCUAGUCCAUGAGCUUCAGUUUUCUCACCUGUUAAAUGGAAAUGAUGAUUAUUUCCUGGAAAUUGCAUUUCCAGGUUGUUUUGAAUGAUAAAUGAUAUGGUGUAUAUAUCAGCUGUUUGCAAACCAGAAAAAGCUAUUCUAUGGUAAACACAUGCAGUGGGCUGAAUUGUGUCUCCCAAAAUUCAUAUGUUGAAGUCCUCACCCCCAGGGCCUCAGAAUGUGACUGUAUUUGGAUCUAGGGUCUUCAAGAGAUAACUAAGUUAGAAUGAGGUCAUUUGGGUUGAUCCUAAUCCAACUGACUGAUAUCCUUAUAAGACGACGAAAUUUGGAUACAGAAAUACACAGAAGACAGGGAGAAGAUGGCCAUCUACAAGCUAAGGAGAGAGGCCUCAGAAGAAACACACCUGCCACACCUUGAAUUUGGACUUCUAGCCAUCAGAACUGUGGGAAAAUAAAUUUCUGUUGUUUAAGCCAGGAGUCCUCAACCCCCGGGCUGUGGACCUGUACCAGUCGGUGGCAUGUUAAGGACUGGGCUCCACAGCAGGAGGUGAGUGGUGGGCGAGUGAGCAUUACUGCCUGAGCUCCACCUCCCGUCAGAUCAGCAGUGGCAUUAGAUUCUCAUAGGAGCACAAACCCUAUUGUAAACUGAGCACGCAAGGGAUCUAGGUUGUGCGCUCCUUACGAGAAUCUAAUGCCUGAUAAUCUGAGAUUGAACAGUUUUAUCCCCAAACCAUCCCCUCCACCACCCCCGUGGUCUGUGGAAAAAUUGUCUUCCACAAAACUGGUCCCUGGUGCCGAAAAGGUUAGGGACCAGCGGCUCAAGCCACCCAGCCUGUGGUACUUUGUUACGGUAGCCCUGGCAAAUGAAUACAACACGUUUUAGACUAUGAUGUUACACAUGCAGUGUGUUGAGAGCCAAAGAACCCAAAUGAUUCGUGGUAUCUGCCCUUGAAGAGUUUUUAAUCUUUUUGGGCAUGAUGAAACAUACACAUGGAAAAUAAAAUAGCAUAUAACCAAGUGCCCAAAUCAGUAAUAAAUACAGUUGACUCCAUAAACAUUUAGGAACCUUCUAUCCCAUGUUUCCACAUUCUAUCCCAGUGGCUUUUGCCACUAAAUUUCUUCACCCACUAUUAGACUGAUGUUUUCAUCUUUCAGUAUCAGACUCAAGCUUUAAUCUAGAAAGAGGGGGUGGGGGGAUAAAUGCUAUACUUUGGAACCAGUCCGGAUAUUUUAAGUAUGUUUUUAAAAAGUAUAAUCCUCACAACAUGAAAGUUAUUAGUUCUAUUUUUCAGGUGAGAAGAGUUAAGGUCAAACAGACGAAAGCUAGUUAGUGGAGGGACUGGUAUUCCAAGCCCAUUCUGGUUAAACUAAAUCUUGUGUUCUUUCCACUAGAAAACUGCUUUUUGUCUUAAUUAUAAUUUUGUGACAAGGAUGUAUAGUCCAUUAAGGAAUAUAUACAACAGAAGAAGCAUUUAAGUGGACUUGAGGUUUGUGAAUCUGAACUAGUUUCUAUCGACUUUCACAUCAGCAGCUCCUAUUCUGGGGAAAGAGAAUGGAGGCUGGGAGUGAUCCUGACAAACCUUGAUGUGCAGGCUUGUGGAGAAACUGGAUUCACACCCAGGCUCGUGGAGUGUGGGAGAGGCUGGCCUGUCACAAUAUCAGGACAGCCUCUCUUAAUAACACUGCAGAAGGAAUCGAGGGCCCUGUGGUUUGCGGUCAGUGUGCCUCUUGUGCCAACUUUGGCACUACAAUGUCUUCAAUCACAUUAUCUUCCAAACCGGCUCUUCAUCCUAUGUCCUUAUUUCUGCUAAUGGUAUUCAUUUCUCUUAUUCAUGGACUCUGGGAAUCUUGGUGGUAUUAAAACCUGUCUCUUCUUUCCCCCUCGAUCUUCCACAUUCCAUUUCCUUUCAGCAGAAUCCCAAGCCUUCACCAUUUUUCAUUUUUGGUGCUGUUUCAGAGUUGCUGUGAACUUUACCUGGGUCCUCUAUCACCUUACCCAGCCAUUUGUCAUUCUGCCUGGUAAAGGGUUGAGCAGAUUUAUCUAUAUGAAUGAUCUUAUUUAAGCUAUUCUGUACACCUUCUGCUACUUAAACAGGCUCUAUGCUUCCACAUCUGCUCUCUAUCUGCCUAUGUGACUCAAACUUCAAUUGUCCAUCUCAGACAUCACAUCCUCCAUGAAGCCCUCUUGGGUUAUUUGAAGUAAUCUCUCUUCUGGGCUCUCAUAGCAUUACUGCUUGUAACUCUUUCAAAAGAUGAAUUUUGUGCUGUUGUUUACUUAAUGAGUACAAAUUUAGUGAUAAAUUUGAAAAACUUGUGUCCAUGUUUGAUAAAUAUGAAAAUCUCAUCAUUUUCAAUAUUUCUUAGAAUUUCAAAAUGUACUAAAUAUUAUUAAAAACCAAUCAUGGCAAUUUUAACAUUGAGUAUUCUUUUUUGAAAUAUGAAUGCUCCUCUCUCAAGACUGGUAUACUUUCUCACUCUACUCCCUUUUCAAGUGCCCUUAUCGAACUUUGCUGAUGAAAUCAUCUUUUCUUAGUUUGUUAGACUUUGGAUGGUGGAGACCUGUGCCUGCUACUUCUCUCAUCUCCUGAUACCUAAUGCAUAGUGUUCAGUAAGUAUUUAUUUGGUGAUAACAAUAUCAAAAACUAGAUAAUGCUUAGAAGAUCCAACACCUUCCAAAAUCUCUGUUAACCAGGUACUGAAAUAUGGUCAACCAGAUGAGCUGAAAUGUCAAGAACUUAUAGACACACAUGGUUUCAUGGUUGUGAAACUAGAAGAUGUGGCAUAUUUUACACAAUGGAGGGAAGAGCAAAGGUUAUGCAUGUGCGGAGGCAGAGCCCCUAGGCAGGUUUCCCUCUUUUCCUUCCUGUGCACUGAUUUUUAUUUUGGUGAACUGAAACAGGGGUCUAACAAACUGGUAUCUCAUUUGUCUUUAUAAACAGAACUGCCAGAUUGGCUUUGCAAUUCAGGGCCCUGUAGGGUGCCCACCUCCUCAGUUUGGGCAGCAGCAUUACAUCUGAGUCUUAGAAUAAAAAUGGAAAGCAAUGGCUCAACCCAUUGGUUUGUCACCAUCCACAUGAAGGAUCUCUAUUGGUAAAAAAACAGACUCCCGUGUUCAAGGCCCUGGGGCUGGAAUCAAAUCCAUCAUUCAUUUAUUUCGGUUUUUUAAGGCUAAAUACAUAGGGAAGAAAAUGAAAUGUGAGAAAGCUGUGCAUUUUCAAUGUCAUCUUGAAAGUGAGUAUCUUUAGACACAUAAAGUAGAUGAGUGGUUAACUUGGGCUGGGAGAGGGAGUGAGGAGUGGUUGUACAUGGCACAAGGUUUCUAUUUAGUGUGAUUGAAAUGUUCUAUAAUUUGAUUGAUGAUUGUACAGUUCUGUAAAUAAACUAAAAUGUAUUGAAUUGUAUAAUUAAAACAUGCAGAUUUUAUAUUUAAAAUAUACUUUGAUAAAAGUGUUUUAAAAAUGAAUAUCUCAUAGGGUAGAAUGAAAUGAAUAAGAGAAACAGUGAGGCAUCCAGGGGACUUUCUGCACAGUGGGUCUGUCAUUAGGCAGGUACGUUGCCACAGCCAGUUCUAAUGCCCACUCAUAGGCCAAUGCCUAGGACAAUUGCUCAGAUAUCGCCUCUGACAGGCAAGUGUUCCAUCAGUAACAGCAGGCAUCGGAAGAUGAUGCCAUUCCCUGCUGUUAGUAUGAUUAUAUUGACUUAGGUUUUUAAUUUUCUUUCUUGCUGUGUUUUUUUUUUUUCACCUUCUUAGCCUCUAAAGCAUGAACAUCUGUGUUUUUCAG
rnacentral:lncRNA from 10 species